rnacentral:rRNA from 1 species
UACCAGCACCCCGAGUGGUCGGGACGAUUAUUGGGCCUAAAGCAUCCGUAGCCGGCCUUACAAGUCCUCCGUUACAUCCAGCUGCUUAACAGAUGGGCUGCGGAGGAUACUAUAAGACUAGGAGGCAGGAGAGGCAAGCGGUACUCAGUGGGUAGGGGUAAAAUCCGUUGAUCCAUUGAAGACCACCAGUGGCGAAGGCGGCUUGCCAGAAUGCGCUCGACGGUGAGGGAUGAAAGCUGGGGGAGCAAACCGG